CAGCCGCCGCGGUAAAACGAAGGGGGCUAGCGUUGUUCGGAAUUACUGGGCGUAAAGCGCACGUAGGCGGACAUUUAAGUCAGGGGUGAAAUCCCGGGGCUCAACCCCGGAACUGCCUUUGAUACUGGGUGUCUAGAGUAUGGAAGAGGUGAGUGGAAUUCCGAGUGUAGAGGUGAAAUUCGUAGAUAUUCGGAGGAACACCAGUGGCGAAGGCGGCUCACUGGUCCAUUACUGACGCUGAGGUGCGAAAGCGUGGGGAGCAAACAGGAUUAGAUACCCCGGUAGUCCCUGUCUCUUAUAC
rnacentral:rRNA from 1 species